ACCGUGAAUUUAGAAGCUGUUAUGUGCUUUAAAAAAGCUUCUAACAAGUUGCUCUGUUGAAACUACACCGGUUGUCACGUGCAGGCGGGCAAACUUGAGUGGCGGUUGCUAGAGAGCAACCAUUGUUGUAGUUUUAAUAUAGCAACGUACUUUUUGAAAGCACAUAACAGCUUCGAAAUCCACGGUGGUGGUAUUAAUGGGUAGAAUUUAUCUCGUAGAACAAAACGUUGAGCUCUCUUAGGCUUACGUUCACCACAUACCUUGAAAUCCCUAUGGAAAAAAUGCUUUGGAAAUCUGUCAAGGGAACCCGUGGCUCAAAAAAGCGAACUUACUUGCGGGUUUUAGGACUACAAAUUGUAAACAUCUGUGGAUCAUUUUCAAUAGCAUCUUCCCUAAUCGACCUUUUACGCAUAAGCGUCAGUGACGUGGACGUCUGAUCAAUGCCACUGACUCCACGACGUGAAUUUUCUACCCAUGAAAUGUCUGUGCCAAGAGUAAUUAACAAUUAACUUAUCCACGAUAGAGACGACAAGUUAGCGCGACGUAGGCCUGACAUACUGCAAACGUAAAGUUGAGUAAAAAAAGUGGAAGGACAUCACAUUUUGUGAGACACCUGGUCCACGUGCAUCCUGAGAGGAAGAAAAAAAGGAUAAAACUGAAUAUGUGCAUGAAUUGCUUCAUCAAAGUCCACUUCAUUGUGUGCAAGACCAGCCGUCUACAUGCAGGGAGCAGUGCGGUUAAAAAAGCAUGCGCAGGCCAGUGAUGGAACUGUGCUUUUGCCUCCUCAUCUCCAGUAUGAAGGGUCUCCAAGUUAUCCAGAUAUGGAAAAUUCUUCGUACAGACCCAGAAGUAGUCAGUGAUUCUUGCCCAGAUUUAAAUGAGCGAUGUCAGUGCUUCUGGGGCGAGUGC